rnacentral:rRNA from 1 species
AUGCAAGUCGAGCGGACAGAAGGGAGCUUGCUCCCGGAUGUUAGCGGCGGACGGGUGAGUAACACGUGGGUAACCUGCCUGUAAGACUGGGAUAACUCCGGGAAACCCGGAGCUAAUACCGGAUAGUUCCUUGAACCGCAUGGUUCAAGGAUGAAAGACGGUUUCGGCUGUCACUUACAGAUGGACCCGCGACGCAUUAGCUAGUUGGUGAGGUAACGGCCCACCAAGGCGACGAUGCGUAGCCGACCUGAGAGGGUGAUCGGCCACACUGGGACUGAGACACGGCCCAGACUCCUACGGGAGGCAGCAGUAGGGAAUCUUCCGCAAUGGACGAAAGUCUGACGGAGCAACGCCGCGUGAGUGAUGAAGGUUUUCGGAUCGUAAAGCUCUGUUGUUAGGGAAGAACAAGUGCAAGAGUAACUGCUUGCACCAUGACGGUACCUAACCAGAAAGCCACGGCUAACUACGUGCCAGCAGCCGCGGUAAUACGUAGGUGGCAAGCGUUGUCCGGAAUUAUUGGGCGUAAAGGGCUCGCAGGCGGUUUCUUAAGUCUGAUGUGAAAGCCCCCGGCUCAACCGGGGAGGGUCAUUGGAAACUGGGANACUUGAGUGCAGAAGAGGAGAGUGGAAU